UACGUAGGGUCCGAGCGUUGUCCGGAAUUAUUGGACGUAAAGAGCUCGUAGGCGGUUUGUCGCGUCUGCUGUGAAAUCCCGAGGCUCAACCUCGGGCCUGCAGUGGGUACGGGCAGACUGGAGUGCGGUAGGGGAGAAUGGAAUUCCUGGUGUAGCGGUGGAAUGCGCAGAUAUCAGGAGGAACACCGGUGGCGAAGGCGGGUCUCUGGGCAGUAACUGACGCUGAGGAGCGAAAGCGUGGGGAGCGAACAGG
rnacentral:rRNA from 1 species